rnacentral:rRNA from 1 species
GGGCCCGCACAAGCGGUGGAGCAUGUGGUUUAAUUCGAAGCAACGCGAAGAACCUUACCAGUCCUUGACAUGGGUAGUUUGGUUAUUGGAGACAAUUUCCUUCAGUUCGGCUGGCUACCACACAGGUGCUGCACGGCUGUCGUCAGCUCGUGUCGUGAGAUGUUGGGUUAAGUCCCGCAACGAGCGCAACCCUCAUCUUUAGUUGCCAUCGGUUCGGCCGGGCACUCUAAAGAAACUGCCUGCGAUGAGCAGGAGGAAGGCGGGGACGACGUCAAGUCAUCAUGGCCCUUAUGGACUGGGCUACACACGUGCUACAAUGGCGGUGACAACAGGCAGCGAAGGGGUGACCUGGAGCAAAUCCUAAAAAGCCGUCCCAGUUCGGAUUGGAGUCUGGAACUCGACUCCAUG